GUCCACGCCGUAAACGAUGUCAACUAGCUGUUUGUGUUCUUGAAACGUGAGUAGCGUAGCUAACGCGCUAAGUUGACCGCCUGGGGAGUACGGCCGCAAGGUUAAAACUCAAAUGAAUUGACGGGGGCCCGCACAAGCGGUGGAGCAUGUGGUUUAAUUCGAUGCAACGCGAAGAACCUUACCAUCCCUUGACAUCCAGAGAAUUUUCUAGAGAUAGAUUAGUGCCUUCGGGAACUCUGAGACAGGUGCUGCAUGGCU
rnacentral:rRNA from 1 species